rnacentral:rRNA from 1 species
GACGAACGCUGGCGGCGUGCCUAAUACAUGCAAGUAGAACGCAGUUGCGAACGGGUGAGUAACGCGUAGGUAACUGCCUCAUAGCGGGGGAUAACUAUUGGAAACGAUAGCUAAUACCGCAUACUUUGAGAUUGACCUGCGGUGUAUUAGCUAGUUGGUGAGGUAAAGGCUCACCAAGGCGACGAUACAUAGCCGGCCUGGGAGGGUUGUCGGCCAAAACGGGACCUGGGCACGGCCCAGACCCCUACGGGGAGCAAGAGGAGGGAAUCUUCGGCAAAGGAGGGAAGGCUGGACGAGCAAAGCCGCGUGAGUGAAGAAGGUUUUCGGAUCGUAAAGCUCUGUUGUUAGGGAAGCGGUAACUAACCAGAAAGGAACGGCUAACUACGUGCCAGCAGCCGCGGUAAUAC